GCGUCAGUAGUGUAACGGGUAGAGCACGCGCUCUUGAAAAGAGUGAGGUGCGGGUUCCAGUCCCGUUGAAGCG